rnacentral:rRNA from 1 species
CAAUAGCGUAUAUUAAAGUUGUUGCAGUUAAAAGCUCGUAGUUGGACUUCUGGGCUUGUGUUGUGGUCCGCCUCACGGUGAGUACUGCGACAUGGGUCCUUCUUCUUGAAGACUGUGCGUGUCCUUAACUGGGUGUGUACAGGAUUUGAGACCUUUACUUUGAAAAAUUAGAGUGUUUCUAGCAGGCAGCUCGCUCUUGCAUAGGUUAGCAUGGGAUAAUUUAAUAGGACUCUGGUGCUAUUUUGUUGGUUUCGAACACCGGAGUAAUGAUUAAAAGGGGCAGUCAGGGGCACUCGUAUUCCGUCGAGAGAGGUGAAAUUCUCAGACCAAUGGAAGACGAACCACUGCGAAAGCAUUUGCCAGGGAUGUUUUCACUGAUCAAGAACGAAAGUUAGGGGAUCGAAGAGGAUCAGAUACCGU